rnacentral:miRNA from 1 species
AGGUCUUUGCGUCUCGAUU